rnacentral:tRNA from 1 species
GAUAAGAUGGCUGAAAAUAGGCAAUAAAUUGUAAAUUUAUUAAUGAAUUAAAUUCUCUUAUCA